rnacentral:rRNA from 1 species
UACAGAGGGUGCGAGCGUUAAUCGGAAUUACUGGGCGUAAAGCGUGCGUAGACGGUUGCGUAAGUCGGAUGUGAAAUCCCCGGGCUCAACCUGGGAACUGCAUUCGAGACUGCGUAGCUGGGGUGCGGAAGAGGGAAGCGGAAUUUCCGGUGUAGCGGUGAAAUGCGUAGAUAUCGGAAGGAACAUCAGUGGCGAAAGCGGCUUCCUGGUCCAGCACCGACGUUCAGGCACGAAAGCGUGGGGAGCAAACAGG